rnacentral:rRNA from 1 species
GACGAACGCUGGCGGCGUGCUUAACACAUGCAAGUCGAACGAACAGGCCCUGCUUUUGUUGGUUGCUCGAUUGGCGAACGGGUGAGUAACACGUGAGUAACCUGCCCUUGACUUUGGGAGAACAUCAGGAAAAUGGGGCUAAUACCGGAUAUGAGCUCCUGCUGCACGUUGGUGGUUGGAAAGUUUGGGCGGUUGUGGAUGGACUCGCGGCUUAUCAGCUUGUUGGUGAGGUAGUGGCUUACCAAGGCUUUGACGGGUAGCCGGCCUGAGAGGGUGACCGGCCACAUUGGGACUGAGAUACGGCCCAGAAUCCUACGGGACGCAGCAGUGGGGAAUAUUGCAGAAUGGGCGGAAGCCAGAUGCAGAGACGCCGCGUGCGGGAUGACGGGCUUCGGGUUGUAAACCAACUUCGACGGUAACGAAGAGUGAUUGACGGUAAUGAGUAAGGAAGCAACGGCUAACUACGUG